UACGGAAGGCAGCAGUGGGGAAUAUUGCACAAUGGGCGCAAGCCUGAUGCAGCCAUGCCGCGUGUAUGAAAAAGGCCUUCGGGUUGUAAAGUACUUUCAGUCGUGAGGAAGGUGUUAAGGUUAAUAACCUUAGCAAUUGACGUUAGCGACAGAAGAAGCACCGGCUAACUCCGUGCCAGCAGCCGCGGUAAUACGGAGGGUGCGAGCGUUAAUCGGAAUUACUGGGCGUAAAGGGCACGCAGGCGGUUAAUUAAGUUGGAUGUGAAAUCCCCGGGCUUAACCUGGGAAUGGCAUUCAAGACUGGUUAGCUAGAGUCUUGUAGAGGGGGUUAGAAUUCCAUGUGUAGCGGUGAAAUGCGUAGAGAUGUGGAGGAAUACCGGUGGCGAAGGCGGCCCCUGGACAAAGACUGACGCUCAUGUGCGAAAGCGUGGGGAGCAAA
rnacentral:rRNA from 1 species